UACGUAGGGACCAAGCGUUGUUCGGAUUUCCUGGGCGUAAAGGGCGCGUAGGCGGCGCGGUAAGUCACUUGUGAAAUCUCUGAGCUUAACUCAGAACGGCCAAGUGAUACUGCAGUGCUAGAGUGUGGAAGGGGCAAUCGGAAUUCUUGGUGUAGCGGUGAAAUGCGUAGAUAUCUGGAGGAACACCGGUGGCGAAGGCGGCAUCCUGGACCGACACUGACACUGAGGAGCGAAAGCCAGGGGAGCAAACGGG
rnacentral:rRNA from 1 species